AAAAAAAAACCUUAUUAAUGAAGUGAAGGAGAAACAAUCUCCAGAUUCUCCAUUGAUUCAAAUCGUCGAUGCUGACACUUUUUUCCUAAAUUUCACAUGGAAUCUGCAGAACAUAUAGACGAAUAUAAUCGACAGAAAUAGAUGGAAAUCUUGGGGAUGAACUGUUGGAGACAACUUAUAAAAAAAGGGCUAUGUAAGGACUAGUUUUUGAUAUAUUUGUUUGACUAGUUUUAACCCGCAAGAACGUGAUCAAAACACAAUUUAUAUGAAUGGAAAUUUGGACAGAGUUUCAGUAUAACGAUUACACAAAACAAUGAUUAAAAAGAAGUAGAAAUAGAGAAAAAUCCAAGGCGAGACAUUAUCUCUUUCCUUAAGACAAAUUGCCCCGUUACGAUACUCACGGUGAAUGACACUUGUCUCCUAAAAUACAAUGGAUUCACAACUUGUGGUAGCAGCACUUCAAACCACAAGAAACCGACGAACUUUUGAUAGAAUUUCUCCUCUACAAAGGAAAUGCAUGAAAAUGCUAUGGAAUUAGAAAGGAGAUAAUUGUAAGAGGAGAAUGAAUGCUCAAUACAAUUGGUGUACCCAAAACUAUGUCCAUAGGGUCCUAUUUAUAGAUGUAGAAAGUGUGCAAAUGAAGUAGUGUGGGCCAAAACAUUCAUCCUUUCGAAAAGUUACAACAUUUCAUUUCUUCCAACUUUGGUCCACAAUUUCUCAUUCAUCCGGAAUUGGUUUCGAGAUUCCAAAUAUAACACGACGAUCUACUCGACGAGAAGAAUAAAUUGAUCUAUUUUUUUUUGUAAUUUAACCAUCAGAUGAAGUCCAAAUAUUUGGUCAAAGUUGACACGUAGUCACACCUUUUCAUUUUCCACUUUUACACACAUUUUCAUUUUCUAAUUUUUGGUUAAUUAUUUGAACCAAUUCCUACAUGAACCUGUGGUGAAAUCGACAGAGAAUAGAUGGAAAUCUUGGGGACGGAAUCAUGGAAAUCUUGGGGAUGAAUCUGUGGUGAAAUCAACAGGAAGAGAUGAAAAAGAAUAGGAAUGAAUCGGCCAGAAGAGAGGUGGAGACGUGAUUCAAUGAGAGAGAAAAUAGGUUAGAAAAUGUGGCACCGGUGGUAAAAUGUUGAGC
rnacentral:lncRNA from 1 species